CUGCUGCCUUCCGUAGGAGUUUGGACCGUGUCUCAGUUCCAAUGUGGCCGAUCACCCUCUCAGGUCGGCUACUGAUCGUCGCCUUGGUGAGCCGUUACCUCACCAACAAGCUAAUCAGACGCGAGCUCAUCCUUAUCCGAUAAAUCUUUGAUGGAAAGAAGAUGCCUUCAAACCAUAUUAUGCGGUAUUAUCAGUCGUUUCCAACUGUUAUCCCCCAGAUAAGGGCAGAUUGCUCACGCGUUA
rnacentral:rRNA from 1 species